GACGAACGCUGGCGGCGUGCCUAAUACAUGCAAGUUGAGCGAUGAAGAUUGGUGCUUGCACCAAUUUGAAGAGCAGCGAACGGGUGAGUAACGCGUGGGGAAUCUGCCUUUGAGCGGGGGACAACAUUUGGAAACGAAUGCUAAUACCGCAAAACAACUUUAAACAUAAGUUUUAAGUUUGAAAGAUGCAAUUGCAUCACUCAAAGAUGAUCCCGCGUUGUAUUAGCUAGUUGGUGAGGUAAAGGCUCACCAAGGCGAUGAUACAUAGCCGACCUGAGAGGGUGAUCGGCCACAUUGGGACUGAGACACGGCCCAAACUCCUACGGGAGGCAGCAGUAGGGAAUCUUCGGCAAUGGACGAAAGUCUGACCGAGCAACGCCGCGUGAGUGAAGAAGGUUUUCGGAUCGUAAAACUCUGUUGGUAGAGAAGAACGUUGGUGAGAGUGGAAAGCUCAUCGAGUGACGGUAACUACCCAGAAAGGGACGGCUAACUACGUG
rnacentral:rRNA from 1 species